UAAUUUAAAUAUCUCAAUUAGCUUUAUUUGUGAUUCUAGAAUCUGGCAGCACUUCAUUCCAUAAAAUAGAACAAGUGUUCCAAUGAGCUGAGCAGAAGAGGUAGGUUUUAUAGACAGAGAAGGGCUGGAGAAAGCAGAAGUAAAGAACAAAAAACAGAUUGGUUCAUUUCAAAGUAACUUUCCAAAAAAUAAAUAAAUAAGUUAAUUUCCUUGUAAAGCAGAACCAAGAAACAAAACAAUAGAGAAAUAACUGAUUGGUUAACAUCAGGUAACUUCAGUUUAUCUUUUUUUGGUAACGAUUAAAGCAGAAGAAAUUUCAUUAUUAUGCUAAUUGAAACUGGCACUCAGGGGAAAUUAGACUCUUAUUAUCUCUUUUUCCUGACUUUUCAGAACUUCAAAUAACAACGUAGUUUCCAUUUGAUGACAUGGAACCUCAGUGAUUUAUACCAUCAGCUCCCCUGCUUCUCAGACCUUUAGACUCAAAUUGAAUUACACCACUGGUUUCCCUGGGUCUCCAGCUUGCAGACAGCAGAUUGUGGGACUUCUUCGCCUCCAUAUCAUGUGAGCCAAUUCUUCAUAAUAAUAAAUCUUCGUAUCCUAUUA